GUGUCAGCAGCCGCGGUAAUACGGAGGGUGCGAGCGUUGUUCGGAAUUACUGGGCGUAAAGCGCGUGUAGGCGGUCGAGCCAGUCCGAUGUGAAAGCCUUCCGCUUAACGGAAGAAGUGCAUUGGAAACUACUCGGCUGGAGUUCGGGAGAGGAGAGUGGAAUUCCUGGUGUAGAGGUGAAAUUCGUAGAUAUCAGGAGGAACACCGGUGGCGAAGGCGGCUCUCUGGCCCGGUACUGACGCUGAGACGCGAAAGCGUGGGGAGCAAACAGGAUUAGAUACCCUGGUAGUCCACGCCGUAAACGAUGGGCACUAGGUGUAGGAGGUAUUGACCCCUUCUGUGCCGAAGCUAACGCAUUAAGUGCCCCGCCUGGGGAGUACGGCCGCAAGGCUAAA
rnacentral:rRNA from 1 species